rnacentral:rRNA from 1 species
AAGAGCAAUUUUAUGCGUUUAAUGGAUGCCUAGGUGCAACAUACCUAAGAAGGACGUGGAGGGCUGCGAUAAGUACCGGUUAGCUGCCGUCAAGCUUUGACCCGGUAAUUUCCGAAUGGGGAAACCCAUCCUGCAUUGCAGGAUAUCUCUUGGCGAAUACAUAAGCUUUGAGAAGGGCACCACCCGAACUGAAACAUCUAAGUAGGGUGAGGAAAAUAAAAUAAUUAAUGAUUCCCCAAGUAGUGGCGAGCGAAAGGGGAAAAGCCCAAACCUGAGCGAGGCAUUGAGCCUCGCAGAUGAUAGGUUUUAGAUGAUAGAUAUUAGAAUUAAACUAAAAUCUAGAAUCCAUAAUCUAAAAUUCUGAGAAGCUGAAAGCUUCGUUUAGGGGUUGCGGGACUCAAAUAUGAGAUCUUAUUUGAAGUAGCAGAAUUGUCUGGAAUGGCAAACCAUAGAGAGUGAAAGACUCGUAUGCGAAAUUUCAAAUAGCUCUAUGAGUAUCCCAAGUACUACGGGACACGAGAAAUCCUGUAGGAAUCUGGCACGACCAUGUGCUAAGGCUAAAUAUAUGUUGCGACCGAUAGUGAACUAGUACCGUGAGGGAAAGGUGAAAGAGUACCCCGGAAGGGGAAUGAAAAGUACCUGAAAUUAAACGCUAACAAGCAGUUAGAGCUCGAGCGAGGCAUUGAGCCUCGCAGUAACUUAGAGGUUAGGUGUUAGAGUUUAGUAAAAAACUAAGCUCUAACAAACUAAUAACUAACAAACUGCGAAGCUGAAAGCUUCGCUUGGGUGAUAGCGUGCCUAUUGAAGAAUGAACCGGUGAGUUUUCCCAUUCUGUUGUCUAACCCCGCUGAGCGGGGGCAGGCAUAGUGAAAGCGAGCGUGAAGUGCGCGAUUUAUAACAGAAUGGUAAAGACCCGAAACCGUGUGAGCUAACCAUGACCAGGAUGAAGUCCCGCUAACGCGGGAUGGAGGUCCGAACCAGUGUCAGUUGCAAGUGGCUUGGAUGAGUUGUGGUUAGGGGUGAUAUACCUAUCGAACACGGAGAUAGCUGGUUCUCCCCGAAAUAUAUUUAGGUAUAGCCCGUGCAUUUAACCUCUAGGGGUAGAGCACUGGAUGGAUCGUUGCGGAGCAAUCUGUAGCAUUCAACCAAACUCCGAAUACUAAAGAUGGAGACAUAGAGUCAGUCCGACCCGGAUAAGCGGGCCAGGGCGAAAGGGAAACAUCCCAGAUCUAUAGCUAAGGUCCCGAAGUGUAUCUUAAGUGUAAAAGGUAGUAUUUGUGCUUAGACAGCAAGGAAGUUGGCUCAGAGGCAGCCAUCUUUUAAAGAAAGCGUAACAGCUCACUUGUCGAUUUGGCAUAGAUGCGCCGAUAAUUCAACGGGGCUAAAGAUACCACCGAAGCUUGGAAUUUGUGCCGCAAGGCACGAGUGGUAGGGGAGCGUUUGCAUUGCAGUGAAGUUUGCGCGGAAGCGUGAGUGGAGCGAUGUGAAGUGAGAAUGCCGGUAUGAGUAGCGAAACCCCGAUGAGAAUUCGGGGCGCCGAAUGUCCAAGGUUUCCUGAGCAACGUUCGUCGACUCAGGGUUAGUCGGUCCUAAGGCGAGGCCAGAAGGCGUAGUCGAUGGAUAUGCAGUUAAUAUUCUGCAACUUGUAGUAAAUCGUUAUCACUAAAGGGAAGACGGAGAAGGAGUAUUUCUAGGUCGAAAUGAUACGGCCUCUAAAAAGUUAGGAAGUAAAAAGUAGUAAAUCUCUUUUUACGUUUAUUCGAGCUUUUAUAGAUAGUCGGCGCAAGCUGGCAAUUGAAACUAUUUCAUCUUCCAAGAAAUUAUCUCGUUAGGAGAUUUAUUAUAAACCGUACCUAAACCGACACAGGUGGACUGGUAGAGUAUACCAAGGCGAGCGAGAAAACUUUCCUUAAGGAACUCGGCAAUACAACUGGACGUACCUUUGGUAGAUGUCCUCCCCCGAUUCAAUCGGGGGCGCAGUUAAUGACGCCAGGCGACUGUUUAUCAAAAACACAGGUCUCUGCGAAAUCGAAAGAUGAAGUAUAGGGGCUGACACCUGCCCAGUGCUCGUAGGUUAACCGUUUGAGGUGAUCCCCGAUUUAUCGGGGUGAGCUUCGGAUGUAAGCCCGGGUAAACGGCAGCAGUAACUAUAACUGUUCUAAGGUGAAUUUUCGCCCUAGAAGUGGAGUGUUUUUGAAAUCCGACCAUAUGCUGGAAAAUCUGAGUAUCUGGUGCUACUAUGGAUAUAUCUGUACAUAGAUAUGGCAAGUAAAAAUGCACCCAGUGCAGACAAUCAGCAGGAAAGGCUUAAGUUAUCAGGUUGGGUAGUUGGGUUUGUUGAUGGAGAAGGUUGCUUUUCUGUUUCAAUUUUUAAAAACAAGACGAGUAAAUGUGGGUAUCAGGCCAUGCCUGAAUUUGUUGUGACCCAAGGCCAGAAAAGUUUAGAUAGUUUAAAAAUUAUCAAGGAUUUUUUUGGAUGCGGGGCAAUUUAUGUAAAUCGCAGAUACGAUAACCAUAAAGAAAAUAUCUACAGAUAUUGUGUCCGGAAUUUUAAGGAUCUGAACGAAAAGAUAAUACCUUUUUUCAAAACAAAUGAACUAUUAACUUAUAAAAAGAGAGAUUUUGAAGCUUUCUGUAGAGCAAUUGAGAUGAUUUAUAAUCGUCAGCAUUUAACUUUGGAAGGCCUAGAAAGAAUUCGACAACUUAAGAAUCCUCAGAGACUACACGUCGGACCCAGCCGUUUUUAGAAAACAGCUGGGAAGAUAUAGUCCGAACUUUGCGGCGACGCAGAGAA